AUGAACGCUGGCGGCGUGCCUAAUACAUGCAAGUCGAGCGAACAGAUAAGGAGCUUGCUCCUUUGACGUUAGCGGCGGACGGGUGAGUAACACGUGGGUAACCUACCUAUAAGACUGGGAUAACUUCGGGAAACCGGAGCUAAUACCGGAUAACAUUUGGAACCGCAUGGUUCUAAAGUGAAAGAUGGUUUUGCUAUCACUUAUAGAUGGACCCGCGCCGUAUUAGCUAGUUGGUAAGGUAACGGCUUACCAAGGCGACGAUACGUAGCCGACCUGAGAGGGUGAUCGGCCACACUGGAACUGAGACACGGUCCAGACUCCUACGGGAGGCAGCAGUAGGGAAUCUUCCGCAAUGGGCGAAAGCCUGACGGAGCAACGCCGCGUGAGUGAUGAAGGGUUUCGGCUCGUAAAACUCUGUUAUUAGGGAAGAACAAAUGUGUAAGUAUCUGUGCACGUCUUGACGGUACCUAAUCAGAAAGCCACGGCCAACUACGUG
rnacentral:rRNA from 1 species